rnacentral:rRNA from 1 species
AUGGACGAUGCGGCGGCGGUCGCAUCCGACAAGCGGAGGCGGGAAGAGCCUCCGGCGACGGGGACGGGGGCGGCUUCUGCAUCCGAGAAGCGGAGGCGGGACGAGCCGGAACCUCAAGAGCCGCCGGCGAGCAUGGAUGGCAGCGAGGAUGCGGGCCUCGACCUCAUCAGCGAGCUCCCCGUCGAUCUCCGGGGCGUCAUGCUCUCCCGCCUCCCCAGCACCAAGGGCGCCGCGCGGACAGCCAUUCUCUCCUCCCGGUGGCGCGACACCUGGCGGUCCACCCCGCUCGACCUCGCCGUCGACGACGACCUCGCCGGGCAAGAGCGCAACCGCACCACCGCCGUCUCCGAGAUCCUCGCCGCGCACCGCGGCCCCAUCCGCCGCCUCACCCUCGAAACCAUACGCCUCGGCCGCAACCGCUACGCCAAAUUCGACGGCUGGUUCCGAUCCCCCGUCCUCGAUGGCCUCGAGGAGCUCCAGUUCUACGGCAACGGCAAUCCGCCGGGCCUGCUGCCGCUGCGCCCGCUGCCCCUGCCGCCAUCCGCGCUCCGCUUCGCUCCCAGGCUGCGCGCCGCCAGCAUCGGCGGCUGCGAUCUGCCCCCACAUUAA